CGCUCAGGUAGCGAAGAUAAAUGUAAUCUUGUGGCAGGAAAUCGACAUUCUCUGCACUAUCUUUAGUUUUCCAACUGAACUUCUGAGAAAUGGAGGCUACAAUACCUAGUUUGCCAAACAGGAGAAGACUACAAUUCCCAGAAGGAACUGCGACCAACAUUGGUCCGUGCUCAUACUUUGCAUCAUGGGACUUGUAGUCAUCACCAGCUUGCGCUGAUUCUAACAGUUUCACUCUUGUUGCCCAGGCUGGAGUGCAAUGGUGUGAUUUCAGCUUACUGAAACCUCCACCUCCUAGGUUCAAGAGAUUCUCCUGCCUCAGCUUCCCGAGUAGCUGGAAUUACAGCUUCAGAUCCAAAUGGUAUGCUAGCAUUCUCUUCCUAGCAGUCCACUGUCAAGACUUCACUGUUAGAAGAAGAAUCACACCAGAAUUAAGGUCAAAUGGAUUAUCUUAUUCUUAAUUGCUGAAAAUCACACCUCAUUGAAAUUUGCUUCAUAACUGAACCAUGAAUUUUUCAUCAAACAUACUUUUGUGUUUCUCCUCCUGGCAUUCUUUAUGAGGAACUUCUUUUUGGAGCUCACUGACUUCCUGUUCUAAUUUGGUCCAGUUAUUUUCUAGAAUUGCUACAUGACUGUCAUCCUGGGACAUCCUUCUGUUGGAAUCUGGGAGAGCUUACAACUUUUCAUAUCCUCUCUUCUUCUUUGUGUUUUUCACCCUGAAGUGUACAAAGUCAAAUGAAUUUCCUAGAAAAA
rnacentral:lncRNA from 1 species